rnacentral:rRNA from 1 species
AACGAACGCUGGCGGCGUGCCUAACACAUGCAAGUCGUGCGAGAAAGUUCCUUCGGGAGCGAGUAAAGCGGCGCACGGGUGAGUAACACGUGGAUAACCUACCCCUUGGUGGUGGAUAACCUUCCGAAAGGAGGGCUAAUACAGCGUAAGACCACGACUUCGAAAGAGGUUGAGGUAAAAGUGGGCCUCUGUACACAAGCUCACGCCAGGGGAUGGGUCCGCGGCCCAUCAGCUAGUUGGUAGGGUAACGGCCUACCAAGGCGAAGACGGGUAGACUGGUCUGAGAGGAUGAUCAGCCACACUGGAACUGAGACACGGUCCAGACUCCUACGGGAGGCAGCAGUGGGGAAUCUUGCGCAAUGGACGAAAGUCUGACGCAGCGACGCCGCGUGAGUGAUGAAGGCCU